GUUGAACGCUGGCGGCAUGCCUUACACAUGCAAGUCGAACGGUAACAGGUCUUCGGAUGCUGACGAGUGGCGAACGGGUGAGUAAUACAUCGGAACGUGCCCGAUCGUGGGGGAUAACGAAGCGAAAGCGUUGCUAAUACCGCAUAAGAUCUAAGGAUGAAAGCAGGGGGCCGCAAGGCCUUGCGCGAACGGAGCGGCCGAUGGCAGAUUAGGUAGUUGGUGGGAUAAAAGCUUACCAAGCCGAAGAUCUGUAGCUGGUCUGAGAGGACGACCAGCCACACUGGGACUGAGACACGGCCCAGACUCCUACGGGAGGCAGCAGUGGGGAAUUUUGGACAAUGGGCGAAAGCCUGAUCCAGCCAUGCCGCGUGCAGGAUGAAGGCCUUCGGGUUGUAAACUGCUUUUGUACGGAACGAAAAGACUCUUUCUAAUAAAGAGGGUCCAUGACGGUACCGUAAGAAUAAGCACCGGCUAACUACGUGCCAGCCGCCGCAGUAA
rnacentral:rRNA from 1 species